rnacentral:rRNA from 1 species
GACGGAAGGUGCAAGCGUUGCUCGGAAUCACUGGGCGUAAAGGGCUCGUAGGCGGCCAACUAAGUCAGACGUGAAAUCCCUCGGCUUAACCGGGGAACUGCGUCUGAUACUGGAUGGCUUGAGGUUGGGAGAGGGAUGCGGAAUUCCAGGUGUAGCGGUGAAAUGCGUAGAUAUCUGGAGGAACACCGGUGGCGAAGGCGGCAUCCUGGACCGGUAUUGACGCUGAGGAGCGAAAGCCAGGGGAGCAAAGC